CUUAGAGGUUAAGCCCGAUGAACCUAAAUAUCUAGUAUGAAAAAUUCAAUAUUAAUAGUAUACAUANCUUUAAUCGGUUUGGUAUACAAAUAAUGUGCAUUUUUUUCAUACAUAGACAUUGUAAUCUGUUAAUAUAAUAAUAUAAAUUUAUCAUAAGAUACGCUUUGGAUAAGUUUAUUAUUAAUUAAAUUUGUUUAUCAAAUUUAAAUAUAAUAAAAUCCAAUUAAAAUGGCGUUAUCGGAUAAAUUAUUGACAGAUUUUAUUAAUGUAUAUAACGCUUAAACUCUUUUGAGUUUUAUAAUAUUUAACAUACAUGUAUGUUAAUAUUUAUUAUAUGCGUAUAUAUGCGGGNCAAUGCUUUAGAUUUAGGAUACCUUCGGGACC
rnacentral:rRNA from 1 species